CCCGCUGAGCUUAAGCAAUGUCGAUCAACGGAGGAAGAGAAGCUGACAAGGAUUCCUCUAGUAGCUGCGAGUGAAGCGGGACGAGCUCAUAUAUUUUAAAUCUGUGCGUGUCUCUGGUCGUCCUAGUUGUAGUAUGGAGAAGCGCUUUCCGUGUUGGACCUUGUAUAAGUCUCUUGGAACAGGGCGUCAUAGAGGGUGAGAAUCCCGUCUUUGACACGGACUACCUAUGCUUUGUGAUGCGCUCUCAAAGAGUCGAGUUGUUUGGGAAUGCAGCUCAAAAUGGGUGGUAAAUUCCAUCUAAAGCUAAAUAUAGGCCAGAGACCGAUAGCGAACAAGUACCGUGAGGGAAAGAUGAAAAGCACUUUGGAAAGAGAGUUAAACAGUACGCUAAAUUGCUGAAAGGGAAACGCUUGAAGUCAGUCAUGUCUGCCAGGCAUCAGCCUCGCUUCUGCUUGGUGUACUUUCUGGUUGGAUGGGCCAACGUCGAUUUUGACCGUCGGAGAAAGGCUUUGGGAAUGUGGCACCUUCGGGUGUGUUAUAGCCCUUUGUCGUAUACGACGGUGGGGAUCGAGGACCGCAGCACGCCUUUAUGGCCGGGGUUCGCCUACGUACGUGCUUAGGAUGUUGUCAUAAUGUCUUUAAGCGACCCGUCUUGAAACACGG
rnacentral:rRNA from 1 species